UGAGGAAUAUUGGUCAAUGGACGAGAGUCUGAACCAGCCAAGUAGCGUGAAGGAUGACUGCCCUAUGGGUUGUAAACUUCUUUUAUAAGGGAAUAAAGUGCAUCACGUGUGGUGUUUUGUAUGUACCUUAUGAAUAAGGAUCGGCUAACUCCGUGCCAGCAGCCGCGGUAAUACGGAGGAUCCGAGCGUUAUCCGGAUUUAUUGGGUUUAAAGGGAGCGUAGGCGGCGGGUUAAGUCAGUUGUGAAAGUUUGCGGCUCAACCGUAAAAUUGCAGUUGAUACUGGCCUGCUUGAGUGCGGCAGAGGCAGGCGGAAUUUGUGGUGUAGCGGUGAAAUGCUUAGAUAUCACGAAGAACUCCGAUUGCGAAGGCAGCUUGCUGGAGCGUAACUGACGCUGAUGCUCGAAAGUGCGGGUAUCAAACAGG
rnacentral:rRNA from 1 species